GCCCUCGUGGAUGAAAUGGUACAUGGCCCAUUGCUCAUAUAUUGAGAAGAUGCUGUGCCAUGUGUGGGAGGCGGGGGUUCGAUUCCCCCCGAGGGCA